CCUACGGGUGGCAGCAGUGAGGAAUAUUGGUCAAUGGGCGGAAGCCUGAACCAGCCAAGCAGCGUGAAGGAUGACGGCCCUACGGGUUGUAAACCGCUUUUAUACGGGAAUAACGCGCCUUACGUGUAGGGCUUUGCAUGUACCGUAUGAAUAAGGAUCGGCUAAUUCCGUGCCAGCAGCCGCGGUAAUACGGAAGGUCCGGGCGUUAUCCGGAUUUAUUGGGUUUAAAGGGGGCGUAGGCCGGAUGUCAAGCGUGCUGUGAAAUGUCCGGGCUCAACCCGGGCCCUGCAGGGGAAACUGGCGUGCUUGAGUCGGCGGGAAGUAUGCGGAAUUCGUGGUGUAGCGGUGAAAUGCUUAGAUAUGGCGAAGAACCCCGAUUGCGAAGGCAGCUUGCUGCAGCCGAACUGACGCUGAGGCACGAAAGCGCGGGUAUCGAACAGGAUUAGAUACCCGUGUAGUC
rnacentral:rRNA from 1 species